GUCUGGUCCAAGUCCAGUGGUAUUUACAACUAAUUGAUCACACCCAGUUAUAGAUUCCAUUGAUCCUUCUCCACUUCCACUGUUUCACUUGACUAGCUUAA
ensembl:misc_RNA Y_RNA Y RNA